GUGGAUUUAGCUGGCAAGUUGUAGUGUUGUGGUAUGGAUGUGGAUUUGUAUUUGGAAUGGUUAUGGGAUAUAUUAUGUUUGUAACUCGAAGACCAGAAUGGCUUAUGAAAUUGUUGAUGGAAAACAUCAUACGAAUGUGAAAAGGUCUAAGAAGGGUGCCCACUGAUGCAGUGAAAGAAGAAAUCAACAAAGACAAAUGACAUUAUCAGGUAAUUGGAAUUUAUCUUUGCAACAUUACUUUGUUGGAUUAUUUUUUAUGGUUUCUAUCUAUAGACUAUAUUUUUGUUACUAAUGCUUUUUAUUUCAGAACUAGAUAUUUUUCUUAGUUGCACAAUAAAGAAAUGGAAUCCAGUUGAAGGGGUGUCUCACUAAUUUGCUGCAUUUGAGUGUAUGUGCAUUCAGAUAGCAGCUACACAAGAUCACUUCAAAAGCUUUACCAUUGUUGCUUUAUUAAAUUCUAAAGUUAAGUUGUGUAGUUUUCUUAAAGCGUUGAGUUAAAUAAGAGUUUCAUGUCAUGAAUUUUUUUUCUUUUUUUUUUCUCGCAUCAUGUAACAACCUUUGGAGAUUUUCACUUUUGUAUGUAGUUGCUUUUAAAUUGGAUUUCAGUCACAAAAGACUAGGCAUUGCCAAGUUUUUAUCUUUGAAAUGCAAUCUUACAAGUUACAACCAUUCCCCAUGUUACAUUCUAAAUCAUUUUGAGUAAUAGAAAUGUUGGCUACUAGAUAGAGAAUUCACAUAGAAAAUAAUGUUAUAUGUUAGUCUGAGCAGUGCUUUUACUCGUCGCUAUUGUAGUCCAACAGAGCUUUUGUUCUCUUUCACACCUUUCUAUCAACAGACAGAAUUGAUGAUAAUUAUUAUUAUUAUUAUUUUUCAUCUUCAUUGGCGAUUGGAGAACCAAACUAGAGAUAUGUACUAGCACUUGUUCUAUAGACGUGGGAAUUUUGUUAUUAAUUGUAGUAUGAAAAUGGUAUUAAUUGAAAAGGUCGCUUAUAGGCAAGAAUGUUGUUGGGAUUGUGAAGUCUGAUUAAUUAGUACUAUACAUUUCAUUACACGAUCAUGGAUCCAACUGAUGUGACCAUGUGAUUUUAAUGCAUUGUUUUAUUUUCUCUUUCCUUUUUUUUUUUUUUUUUUUCUCUUUCUUUCUAGUUUAUAGCUAAAAAUGAGGUUUGGUGUACUGAAAUUGUUAUUGUGUUCUAAGAAGUUAAUUUUUUUUUUUAAUUUUAGAAAGUUUUAAUUCUGUCUUUAUAUAUUGUUGAUGUUUCUCUGCCAAUUCUCUCAAAUACUAUGGAGUAUUGAUGAGUCCAGAUCCUCUGCCAUGGUUUCUUGCCAUGGUCCCUGCCGUGAUGCCAAAAUGUCGUUUUGGCGUUAAAUUCAAAAAAAAAAAUUUCCUCUGUUUUCCCUUUCUCCCUCAAUUGUUGAUACAGCCCUAAACCUUAAGAGAGAGGCGAACUUGAACGGCUCCUUUGACGCAGAGGAGGGUAGGUGACGACAGCUGCGCUAGGCGAGGUAAUGGAACAAUAUUGUUAAUGAGUUGGACACUUAUUGUUGGAAGCUGAAACUGGGGAUGUUGCUCCCACAUUCUUCUAGGAGUUGAUUCAAGAUUCAAGUGUUUGUCACUUUGCAAUUCAAGACUCACAUCGCAAGCCUAAAACAAUCCUGCUGGCAGUCACGUAGGUGGUCCUUCAAAUGACGUGUUGAGGCGAUGAAAGAUACAAUGUUUUGGUUUAGUUAGAUGUUAUUUUAGUUGGAUGUUGUUUUGGUGAUUUUAGCCUUAUGUUCAAAUUAAAAGCCUUGAUAUGAACAAAAUUGAUUGAAUGUUAAUUGAUUUCAGCCUUAUUAUGUUAAUUGGCAAAAUGUUUUGGUUUAAUUGCCUUGAUGUUAAUUGA